rnacentral:lncRNA from 1 species
GUGAUUGGGGAUGUUGAAUUAUUUAGAGAGAAACGUUCUGUGCCCAAAGUGGAAAGGAGAUGAGAUGACUCUGCAAUCUACCCAAAUGGGAACCCAAAGAGAACUGGAAUCACUUUGUUCAAGAGGGUCGCUGUCCCUGCUCACUGUCUCUGGCUUGUGGCAAAAGCAGGAGCAAGAAAUGAUAUCAGGCUGCAGGAUUAAUUAAGAAGCCAAAUAGGACAUUGAUGCAUAUUUUAAAGUUAAAAUUGAUGUUUACACAAAUGUCAAUUCUAUAAGCACAAUUCUAGAGAAAGUCUAAUAUGUACAUUUUCACAAUUAAAAAUC